rnacentral:lncRNA from 1 species
CACCCACAUCAGCAGGGGCCUCCCGUAAAGGGGAUGAUGAUCCAGUAGAUCAGCUUUCGCUGAGGCUCUCAAAACCCACCAUUUACAAGUAAAAAGUAGGCAUAGAAAAAAAAGAAGGGGUAGCCGAGCUAAGAAAGCAAAAAAUAAAAAAGAGAGAAGGAGAUAACCUACAGUGACAUAGGAGAUGAGGACGGUGGUCUUGUAGGAAGCGAGGACAGUGAUUCAAAGAGAAGCCACCGG